rnacentral:lncRNA from 1 species
CAAAAAUAUUAAACCAAACCCGUUUCACAACUUCUAAAGAAGCUCGUACCAGAACCGAUUUCAACAUAAAUCUCAGAAAAUGUACACACGAGAUAGAAAAAAAAAAUAAAAAUCAAACGUACGAAUUUGAACAAAGAAUCAAUUUUCAGUCUUAGAUAAUAAAUCUUAGUUAAGCGGAGUGGCGACUUCUCGUAGAAUCCAAGAUAGAAACAAAGGUCUCAAAAUAUAAACCAAACCCAUUUCACAACUUAUCAAGAAGCUCUUAACAGAUCCCAUAAUUCCAUAAAUCUCAGAACACAUAAACACAAGACAGCAAAAAAUAAUAAUCAAAACCCAAUUGGAUUCGGAUAUAUGUAUGAAUUUGAACAAUCAAUCAAUUUUCAGUUUACAUGAUAAAUGUUUGAGAAGAGGAGUGACGACUUCUCGGAGAACCCAAGAUAAAAUCAAAGAAACACCAAAAAGGCCACAGUAGGCGAUUCUUGCAGAGCGUUUUGUGAUGCCAGAGGCCACUGAUGUGCAGAGACCGCAUGUUAGGGACGCACAGCAUGAUGCCAAGCACGACAUCUCUCUAUCUCUGGCUGAUGAUGGGAUCGAGACUCGGAAAUUCAGUUUUUUGGGGGGUUUUUGGGUUUAACUGCGGAGUCCCCGCACGAAAUUGAUGUCCCCGCACAGACUUCCCGCAUGUCCCCGCACAGUUUGUGAGGGGAGGGCAUGGGGGGAGGGGAGGGGACUCCGCACCAAUUUCAUGCGGAGUUCUGGCACAGAUGACUCCGCACAA